AGUAGAUCCAAGAGAAGAAUUUCAGAGCCUACUAUCAACCCAAGGGAAAAGCCAGAAGUAGCCGUAUGUCUCCAACCACAGGAAAUCAAAGGAGCCUUCAUGCAUUUCUGGUGGACGUGAAGACAGCUGUAUUCAUUUUGCAGAAAAACAUGACAAUACCUAGUCAAGAAUUGGAUCUUUCUGCUCACCUUGGGACCAUCGUCACCAUGAAGACAGAGAUUCCAGUCUUGUCCAGCUUCUCUGUAUCCUUGUUGCCAUUUUGGCAAUCCUAAGAUUGUUUAGGAAACUCACAACUGAGGAAGUGUUCAGGAGACUCAUCGUCCAGCAGAAACGCCAUCCCAAC
rnacentral:lncRNA from 1 species